rnacentral:rRNA from 1 species
AACGAACGCUGGCGGCAUGCCUAACACAUGCAAGUCGAACGAGACCUUAGGGUCUAGUGGCGCACGGGUGCGUAACGCGUGGGAAGCUGCCCUUAGGUUCGGAAUAACUCCCCGUAAGGGGUGCUAAUACCGGAUAAUGUAUUCGGACAAAAGAUUCAUCGCCUUUGGAUGGGCCCGCGUUGGAUUAGCUAGUUGGUAGGGUAAAAGCCUAUCAAGGAGACGAUACAUAGCUGGUCUGAGAGGAUGAGCAGCCACACUUGGACUGAGACACGGUCCAGAAUCCUACGCGAGGCAGCAGUGCGUAAUACAGGACUAUGGGGUAAGUGAUGAUCCAGCUAUGCCUGGUGAGUGAUGAAGUCCGUAGAGAAGUAAAGCUCUUUUACCCGCGAUGAUAAUGACAGUACCGAGAGAAUAAGCACCGGCUAACUUCGUG